UACGGAGGAUUCGAGCGUUGUCCGGAUUUACUGGGCGUAAAGGGCGCGUAGGCGGCCACCGCAAGUCGACUGUGAAAUCUCCGGGCUUAACCCGGAAAGGUCAGCCGAUACUGCGGGGCUAGAGUGCAGAAGGGGCAACUGGAAUUCUCGGUGUAGCGGUGAAAUGCGUAGAUAUCGAGAGGAACACCUGCGGCGAAGGCGGGUUGCUGGGCUGACACUGACGCUGAGGCGCGAAAGCUAGGGGAGCGAACGGG
rnacentral:rRNA from 1 species